rnacentral:snRNA from 1 species
GUUUAUAUGUUAUGAUGAUGGU